rnacentral:rRNA from 1 species
AUUGAACGCUGGCGGCAUGCUUUACACAUGCAAGUCGAACGGUAACAGGCCUUCGGGUGCUGACGAGUGGCGAACGGGUGAGUAAUGCAUCGGAACGUACCCAGAGGUGGGGGAUAACGCAGCGAAAGCUGUGCUAAUACCGCAUGUGAUCUGAGGAUGAAAGCGGGGGACCGAGCAGCAAUGUUUGGCCUCGCGCCUUUGGAGCGGCCGAUGUCGGAUUAGCUAGUUGGUGGGGUAAAGGCCUACCAAGGCGACGAUCCGUAGCUGGUCUGAGAGGACGACCAGCCACACUGGGACUGAGACACGGCCCAUACUCCUACGGGAGGCAGCAGUGGGGAAUUUUGGACAAUGGGCGCAAGCCUGAUCCAGCAAUGCCGCGUGCGGGAAGAAGGCCUUCGGGUUGUAAACCGCUUUUGGCAGGAACGAAACGGUGUCCGCUAAUACCGGGCGCUAAUGACGGUACCUGCAGAAUAAGCACCGGCUAACUACGUG